GCAUAAACCAGUUACAGCAGAUGAUGGAUGCCUUGGCGUCAUCAGGCGAUGAAGGGCGCAGCAAGCUGCGAUAAGCUUCGGGGAGCGGCAUACACGCUUUGAUCCGGAGAUGCCCGAAUGGGGAAACCCGGCACCGGUAAUUCGGUGUCACUUCGAGAUGAAUACAUAGUCUCGAUAGAGCAACACGCGGAGAAGUGAAACAUCUCAGUAUCCGCAGGAAAAUAAAGAGAAUCGAUUCCGUCAGUAGUGGCGAGCGAACGCGGAACAGCCCAAACCACCGGGAUUCAUCCUGGUGGGGUUGUAGGACCACGAUAUGGAAAGCUUAGAUUAGGAAAACCGUCUGGAAAGUCGGGCCAAAGAGGGUGAUAGCCCCGUAUUCGAAAAUCGAAGCAGACCUAGUGGUAUCCUGAGUAGCACGGGACACGUGAAACCCCGUGUGAAUCCAUGCCGACCACGGCAUAAGGCUAAAUACUCGAUGACGACCGACAGUGAACUAGUACCGCGAGGGAAAGGUGAAAAGCACCCCUGUUAGGGGAGUGAAAUAGUAACUGAAAUCAUCUGCUAACAAGUCAGUCGGAGCCCCCUUGUGGGGUGACGGCCUGCCUUUUGUAUAAUGAGUCUGCGAGUUAUUGUCGGUAGCAAGCCUAAGCCGCUCAGCGGCGCAGGCGCAGCGAAAGCGAGUCCGAAUAGGGCGCUUAGUUGUCGGCAAUAGACCCGAAGGGGAGGUGAUCUAACCAUGGCCAGGAUGAAACUUCGGUAACACGAAGUGGAGGUCCGAACCGGUCAAUCUUGAGAAAUUGUCGGAUGAGCUGUGGUUAGGAGCGAAAGACUAAUCAAACCCCCUGAUAGCUGGUUCUUUCCGAAAUAUAUUUGGGUAUAGCCUCGGGCGCUGAUUUGCGGAGGUAGAGCACUAAAUAAGCUAGGGCCCCUACCGGGGUACUGAACUUAAUUAAACUCCGAAUACCGCAGAGUGAAGCCCGGGAGUCAGACUGUGGGGGAUAACCUUCAUAGUCAAAAGGAGAAUAAUCCAAACCAUCAGUUAAGGUCCCAAAAUACGGCUCAGUGUAAAAGGAUGUGAUUUUGCUUAGACAAUGGGGAUGUUGGCUUAGAGGCAGCCAUCAUUUAAACAGUGCGUAACAGCUGACCCAUCGAGCGAAAUUGCGCCGAAAAUGAUCGGGACUUAAGCCGUAUACCGAAGCUAUGGCUGACAUCGCAAGAUGUCGGGGUAGGAAAGCGUUCCAAAUGCAGCGAAGUGGAAGGGUAACCGACCAUGGAGCGUUUGGAAGUGAGAAUGCAGACAUAAGUAACGAUAAAGAUGGUUGAAAUCCAUCUCGCCUCAAUUCCAAGGAUUCCUGGGGAAGGUUCGUCCUCCCAGGGUUAGUCGGGAGCUAAGACGAGGCCGUAAGGAGUAGUCGAUGCACAGCUGGUUCAAUAUUCCAGCACCACCUUAUUAGAGUUCGAUGCCAAGGAGUGACGGAGAAAGUUAACACGAGCGGGGCGCUGAUUUCCGUUCAAGUCCGUAGGUUAUUCGGGAGUAAAAUACCGGAUCUAUCUGAAAGACGAUGAAAAGCUGAGGCUACGGCCGAGGCGAUUCGUGUGAUACUCGGCUUCCAGGAAAAGCUUCGUGGCUAUUUGAUAGGGUGCCCGUACCGUAAACCGACACAGGUGGAAUAGAUGAGUAUUCUAAGGCGCGUGGGUUAAAUCUCUCUAAGGAACUCGGCAAACUGACCCCGUAUGUUAGCUAUAAGGGGUGCCUCGCAAGAGGCCACAGAUAAGAGUGUCAACCGACUGUUUAGCAAAAACACAGCUCUCUGCUAAGUCGCAAGACGACGUAUAGGGAGUGACUUGUGACCAAUGCGGAAAGGUGAAAGCCUGGGGUGCAAGCUCCGGGUCUAAGCCCCCGUGAAUGUCGGCCGUAACUAUAACGGUCCUAAGGUAGCGAAAUUCCUUGUCGGGUAAGUUCCGACCCGCACGAAUCAAGUAACGAGUUGACAACUGUCUCGGAGAGAGGCCCAGUGAAAUUGUAGUGGCGGUGAAGAUGCCGCCUACCCGCAGCAGGACGGAAAGACCCUAUGCACCUUUACUGUAAGCUGUUAUUGUCGCUUGAUUUUUAAUACGUAGCAUAGCUGGGAGACUGCGAAGCCUGCCUUCAGGGGCGGGCCGAGUCGAAAUAUGAAAUACCAGUUUUUAAUUGUUAGGCGUCUAACCUCGUCCCAUUAUCUGGGCGUGGGACAGUGAUAGCGGGUCAGUUUUUCUGGGGCGGAAUCCUCCCAAAGAGUAACGGAGGAUUACGAAGGUUCCCUCAGCCCGGUCGGUAAUCGGGCUAUAGAGCGCAUGAGUAUAAGGGAGCUUUACUGUGAGACCAACAAGUCGAGCAGUUGCGAAAGCAGGUUCAAGUGAUCCGGUGGUUGAAUGUGGAAUCGCCAUCGCUCAUAGGACAAAAGGUACGCUAGGGAUAACAGGCUGAUCGCGCCCAAGCGUUCACAGCGACGGCGCGGUUUGGCACCUCGAUGUCGGCUCAUCACAUCCUGGGGCUGGAGAAGGUCCCAAGGGUCCGGCUGUUCGCCGGUUAAAGUGGUACGCGAGCUGGGUUCAGAACGUCGUGAGACAGUUCGGUCCUCUAUCCGCUGUGGGCGUUUGUGAUUUGAGGGGUUCAUUCUCUAGUACGAGAGGACCGAGAAUGACGCACCUCUGGUGUUCCGGUUGUCACGUCAGUGGCAGCGCCGGGUAGCUAUGUGCGGAAGAGAUAAGCGCUGAAAGCAUCUAAGCGCCAAGCUCCUCCCAAGAUAAGAUCACAAUCCGUCGCAAGACGGUGCAAGGUCCGGGUAGACCACCCGGUUGAUAGGACAGAAGUGCAAGCGUAGUAAUACGUUCAGCUUACUGUUACUAAUGACCUUGCCGGUUUAUGCAG
rfam:Opitutus sp. GAS368 genome assembly, chromosome: I